rnacentral:rRNA from 1 species
AUUGAACGCUGGCGGCAUGCUUUACACAUGCAAGUCGAACGGUAACAGGCCUUCGGGUGCUGACGAGUGGCGAACGGGUGAGUAAUGCAUCGGAACGUACCCAGAGGUGGGGGAUAACGCAGCGAAAGCUGUGCUAAUACCGCAUGUGAUCUGAGGAUGAAAGCGGGGGACCGAGCAGCAAUGUUUGGCCUCGCGCCUUUGGAGCGGCCGAUGUCGGAUUAGCUAGUUGGUGGGGUAAAGGCCUACCAAGGCGACGAUCCGUAGCUGGUCUGAGAGGACGACCAGCCACGCUGGGACUGAGACACGGCCCAGACUCCUACGGGAGGCAGCAGUGGGGAAUUUUGGACAAUGGGCGCGAGCCUGAUCCAGCAAUGCCGCGUGCGGGAAGAAGGCCUUCGGGUUGUAAACCGCUUUUGGCAGGAACGAAACGGUGUCCGCUAAUACCGGGCGCUAAUGACGGUACCUGCAGAAUAAGCACCGGCUAACUACGUG